rnacentral:tRNA from 2 species
GGAGAGGUGGCAGAGCGGUUGAAUGCACCGGUCUUGAAAACCGGAGUCGUCGCAAGGCGAUCGCGGGUUCGAAUCCCGCCCUCUCCG